GCCUAACACAUGCAAGUCGAACGAAGGUGGCAACAUCUUAGUGGCGGACGGGUGAGGAACACGUAGCUGACCUGCCUUUGGGACUGGGAUAACGUCGCGAAAGCGACGCUAAUACCGGAUAGGGUCAUGUUCAAUAGCGGGACAUGAGGAAAGGGGAAACCCGCCUAAAGAGGGGGCUGCGACCUAUCAGGUAGUUGGUGGGGUAAGAGCCUACCAAGCCGACGACGGGUCGGGGGUCUGAGAGGAUGGCCCCCCACACUGGGACUGAGACACGGCCCAGACUCCUACGGGAGGCAGCAGUGAGGGAUAUUGCGCAAUGGGGGAAACCCUGACGCAGCGACGCCGCGUGGGUGAAGAAGGCUUUCGGGUCGUAAAGCCCUUUUUGGCAUGACGAGGAAGGACGGUAGUGCCAGAAUAAGCCUCGGCUAACUACGUGCCAGCAGCCGCGGUAAAACGUAGGAGGCGAGCGUUAUCCGGAGUUACUGGGCGUAAAGGGUGCGUAGGCGGCAUGGCAAGUGGGACGUGAAAGCCGUUGGCUAAACUAGCGGAGGACGUCUCAGACUGCUAAGCUAGAGUGAAACAGAGGAGCGCGGAAUUCGGGGUGUAGCGGUGAAAUGUGUAGAGAUCCCGAGGAACACCAGUGGUGCAAACGGCGCUCUGGGUUUAGACUGACGCUGAGGCACGAAAGCUUGGGGAGCGAACGGGAUUAGAGACCCCGGUAGUCCAAGCCGUAAACGAUGUCAACUGGGUGUUUGGGAGGGGAAACCUGACUGGGUGCCGAAGCCAACGCGGUAAGUUGACCGCCUGGGGAGUACGGUCGCAAGGCUAAAACUCAAAGGAAUUGACGGGGGCCCGCACAAGCAGCGGAGCGUGUGGUUUAAUUCGAGGCUACGCGAAGAACCUUACCUAGGCUUGACAUGAUAGUGGUAGGGAAGCGAAAGCGGACCGACCUACGGGAGCUAUCACAGGUGCUGCAUGGCUGUCGUCAGCUCGUGUCGUGAGAUGUUCGGUUAAGUCCGAAAACGAGCGCAACCCUCGGGGCUAGUUACAAGUGUCUAGCGCGACUGCCCGUGAGAAACGGGAGGAAGGUGGGGAUGACGUCAAGUCAGCAUGGCCUUUAUGCCUAGGGCUACACACACGCUACAAUGGGCGGCACAGAAGGGAGCGAACCUGCGAGGGGGAGCGGAUCCAAGAAAGCCGUUCGUAGUUCGGAUUGCAGGCUGCAACCCGCCUGCAUGAAGCUGGAGUUGCUAGUAACCGCAGGUCAGCCACACUGCGGUGAAUACGUUCCCGGGCCUUGUACACACCGCCCGUCACGUCAUGGGAGCUGGUCACGCCUGAAGCGGCGGGGCGAACCGCAAGGGAGCACGCUUCGAAGGCAGGGCCGGUGACUGGGACGAAGUCGUAACAAGGUAGCUGUAGCGGAAGCUGCGGCUGGAUCACCUCCUU
rnacentral:rRNA from 1 species